UACGAAGGGGGCUAGCGUUGCUCGGAAUCACUGGGCGUAAAGGGCGCGUAGGCGGCCAUUCAAGUCGGGGGUGAAAGCCUGUGGCUCAACCACAGAAUUGCCUUCGAUACUGUUUGGCUUGAGUAUGGUAGAGGUUGGUGGAACUGCGAGUGUAGAGGUGAAAUUCGUAGAUAUUCGCAAGAACACCGGUGGCGAAGGCGGCCAACUGGACCAUUACUGACGCUGAGGCGCGAAAGCGUGGGGGAGCAAACAGG
rnacentral:rRNA from 1 species